ensembl:lincRNA
CCUAAUUUGAAACUUUUCAAUCAGUUUUAAUCUCCACAUCCCUCUGCUCGUCCAGAUUCUCGCUGUGCCUUGCAGAGGAAGUGCCAGCAUUCCAUGAGAACAACGGUCUCUGUGGAAUUUUUGGCUUGACCAGAAGCAGGAAGAGUAGGAAAUGUUAUUUUAAAAAGUCCCGUUUUUCACACUGCUGAUGUCUGGAGAGUCGAGAUAAGCUUUGAGCCUACUUCCAAAUCUCUGGGUGCUCCUCCAAGCGUGCUGGAAAUGGGGGUGUGAAACAUAGCUUGCUGAGCUGUCAAGAGGCAAGAUAAGGCAUUUGCAAUUGGCAGUGUUUCAAAGGACUCCAGAUUUCUCCAAAGAACCUAGAUUUCCCAGGUACUGAACAUGUGCAAAAUAGAAACAAACAUUCAAGAUGAGUGAGUGAUGAGUUCUGCCUGUGGUCAGAAGAAAACAACACUCCCAACUCUGCAACCUGAUCACAUCCCUACUUAGUCCUGUUUGUGGAGCCGCCUUAUUAACGACAUUAGAACAAAGAUAUGAAGCAGACAAUGAGGUCCUCCACCAGUGCUUCCUAGAACCUGGGGACAACACAGUUGCUAUGCAGCCAAUCCAUGCCCUGGAUGCAAGUUUCUCAGGCUCCAGUAUCAUUCUGGUCAUUCCUCUGCAAAACACUACUGAAAAAGCACUAAAGGAAUUGACAAAGGGAUUGUGA